rnacentral:miRNA from 1 species
UGGGUGUAAGUUGAUUGGCGU